GCCGAGGUGGUGGAACGGCAGACACGUAGGUCUCAAAAACCUAUGACCGCAAGGUCAUGAGAGUUCGAUUCUCUCCCUCGGCA
rnacentral:tRNA from 2 species